GGGUGAGAUGAUGGCAUACCAUCUUUCGGGACUGACUUGUGACAUGGUGAUAACACACCUUGAGACUGAUCACCC